rnacentral:rRNA from 1 species
AAUACAGUACUUGUUAUGCCUUAUUAAAAAAAAGUUUUAUAACAUAAGGAAUUAUAACAAAGAAGCAACACAUAAAAUAUGACAUUCAUAUUUUUUAGUGUGUAUCAAUCGAGUUUCUGACCUAUCAGCUUUUGAUGUUAGGAUAUGGGCCUAACAUGGCUAUGACGGGUAACGGGGAAUCAGGGUUCGAUUCCGGAGAGGGAGCCUGAGAAACGGCUACCACAUCCAAGGAAGGCAGCAGGCGCGCAAAUUACCCAAUUCUAAAGAAGAGAGGUAGUGACAAGAAAUAAUAGGACAAGACUAAUUUUUUAGUUUUGUAUCUGUGCUGAUAGAAUUUUAAAACCAUUCUAAAAUUCCAUUGGAGGGCAAGUCUGGUGCCAGCAGCCGCGGUAAUUCCAGCUCCAAUAGCGUAUAUUAAAGUUGCUGCAGUUAAAAAGCUCGUAGUUGGAUUUCAAA